rnacentral:lncRNA from 1 species
UUCUCUGUGUUCCUCGGCCUCAUCUUCUUCCUGGAGCUGGCGGCCGGGAUCCUGGCCUUCGUGUUCAAGGAUUGGAUCCGAGACCAACUUAACCUCUUCAUCAACAACAAUGUCAAAGCCUACCGGGACGAUAUUGACCUUCAGAACCUUAUCGACUUUGCUCAGGAAUACUGGUCUUGCUGUGGAGCCCGAGGGCCCAAUGACUGGAACCUCAACAUCUACUUCAACUGCACUGACUUGAACCCAAGCCGCGAGCGCUGUGGGGUGCCCUUCUCCUGCUGUGUUAGGGACCCUGCGACGUCCUCAAUACCCAGUGUGGCUAUGACAUCCGACUCAAACUGGAGCUGGAGCAGCAAGGCUCCAUCUACACCAAAGGCUGCGUGGGCCAGUUUGAGAAGUGGCUCCAAGAUAACCUGAUUGUGGUGGCCGGGGUCUUGGUGGCCAUUGCCCUCCUCCAGAUAUGUGGCAUCUGCUUGGCCCAGAACCUCGUGAGUGACAUCGAGGCAGUAAAGGCCAACUGGUGAGGCUGCCGGGGGUGAUGGCCACAUGCCUGGCCCACAGGGCUGUAGUGGGGGCCUCCUAG